GCUCAGGAGAGGCGCGCCUCCCGCUGCAAUUGCACCGCUGCUUCCCGACUGUGAGCUUUCCCGGUCGCCCUCCCGUGAUGGGCACCCUGAUGCCUCUACAAUGAACAUCUUUGAGCCUAUCCCCUUAUGAACCUGGGCUCAAGUUUCUCUGGGAUGUGUUCCUGGAAUGGAUUAUUGGAUCAUAUUCAUUUCUAGUAUUACUGGACAAGUUAAUGACACAGGGUUUCUGAAUAUGAGGAAGGUCAAAGAGGAAAACAGGAUGAGUAAGGAAGCUUGGUCGUGGAAAAAAUCUGUCACUUAGGAUGGCAAUUCAGCUUAACAGGUGAGGUAAUGAGACUGAUGGAAUACACCCUUUCCAAGGAAGAAGUUAUAACAAUUUCUAUUGAUGGUGACAGUAUUUCCAUAGGCCUCUAUUUCCAGGAGGUUAUAUACACUGUCACAGAAGAACACUGAAAACACAU